GACUGGCCGUCCUAGCCAGAGAUCUCCGUCAUCUUCCAAGCAGGGCUCGCUGCUCAAGCAGCAAUCGUUAUUGAGAAGCGGGACAGAUUUGAAUGAAAGCACUUUGGGGAUGUCUAUGUCUGUCUUAGUGUGGUGGGUGGUAAGAUGCGUUAAUGAACGAGCUGUGCUAAUGACUAGGUUACUGUGGAAAUAUUUCUGAGGGGUGGAGAGGGUGACUCUCAGGAUAACCUGCACUGUAUUUCAUAUUUUGGAAGUAGUGAGAGCUGAGAAGAAAGCAGACAGUAGUAAGGUGCUACGUAGAGCCAGGCAAUGUUCCAUGCGCACCAGCUAUUCUGCUGGCGCAUGCGUGUGUCUCUCAUCUCUGCAACAGGAAGUUUUGCUGGGUCCAGCAUGUUGGCUCAUGCCUGAAAUUCUAGCACUCGGGAGGCGGAGGCAGGAGUAUGGCCAUGAAUUCAAGGUCUGUCUGGGUUACAAAGUGAGACUACCUUAAAACAAAACAAAUAAAUAAUAAAGUUAAAAGGACAGUGGCGCUUCUGGGUCAGCGAUGCAAAUGGACUCAGAAUUACUGUGGUGUCAGUAUUAACCCGGCCUAAGAGCCUCUACAUUGCCUGCUUUAAAAUUUCUCCUCUUAAACUGGGGGGAGAUGGCCCACACUUUUAAUCCCAGCACUCAUGAUAACUGAUUUUGAGGCCAAUCUGGUCUACAGAGCAAGUUUCAGGACAGCAGAGAGAAACCCUGUCUUGAAAAACAAGUAAACAAACAAAAUCUCCUCUUCUUUCCUCAAGAACUCUAUUCCUUCUUAGCAGCGAUUUUAAUCAGCGAGCUGGGGCUGUCCUCGUGUGACCUUUGUCAAUCCCUGGAGGCUUGCUUAGCAGUUGCAAGCAAGGCUGGAGAGCUAAUGUAGGUGAUCAGAGUAGCGGCUGAAUAUCUGACAGUGCACAGCUCCCCACAUCAAAGAAGUCUCCAGCCCCAAAUGUCAACAGUGCUGAGGCUGACCUGUGCUUUCAUGUCAUAACACCAUUGAAAAGCAUCUAUUUACUAAGUCACAGUAUGGUCUGAAUGGCUGACAGUCUGCAUAGAAACCUUCUAGGGCAAGUUGAUUUGAAAGAGGCUUGUAUUUGUUUGAGAGCUCUAAAUCUCUCUCUCUCUCUCUCUCUCUCUCUCUCUCUCUCUCUCUCUCUCUCUCUCUCUCAUACACACACACACACACACACACAGAGCUGUGUUGGGGAGCCCCCCAGUUUUUCCUCUUCGGUUGCUAUGACACCCACCUACUCCAUCGAUGUAGGUAGACCUACCAAGUAUUCCUUUCGAAGGCUGAAGUGAAGACCCUGGUGUGAAGUCUCCACCUAUCUGCAGUUACUGGAAGCACAAAUCCUGAUGGAUGAGCCAUUUUAACCCACAUCACCAAACGAUGGGAAAAAUUCUUUAAGAAUGGACAAGUGCCUGUGUUAGGUCACAGUUUCUUAAUCCUUCUGGCAAUUACAACGCCCCAGGAGGCCUAACAGUUUGCAGUGCCUAGGUUGGGACCCUAGACUUGUAAGAAGCACCUUUCCUGCUGACACCACCCAUCAGUGUGUAAGUUAAUUUUCCCGAAGGGUGACAAACACACACAAUGUGCACAUGUCUCUAACAAGCCCACAUCUGAGUGUAGCCUCAACAGAUCUGAAAGCAGAGUCUUGAAAAUAUCUGUACACCCAUGCUCACAACAGUCACAGUAGCUGAAAACACCAUGCAUCCAUCAGUGUAGAUACAAAUGAACGGAAUGUGGUGUAGACACAAAGAUCAGCACUCAACUUCACAAAGCGAAUUGCAAUGCGUACUAAAACAGGCAAAGCAUCAUGUUAAGGAAAGUAAGCAGUGGUAAGGAGACAGUUAGAGCAAGCUUCCAUUUCUAAGAGAAACCUAGUCCGAUUCAGAGACGGAAAGAGCAAGAGCUGGGGAUAGGUGGGGCUGAUUAAUUCAUAAAGUGUCGGCUUUGCAUAAUAGCUUAAGCUCAUUCUCUAUUCCUAAACCCCAACACUUAGAAUGGUGUGUUAAUUUGUUUGUUUGUUUGUUUGGUCGCUUGCUUGCUUAAGACAGACUCUUACUAUGUAGCCCUGACUGGCCUACCUAGUAGAUACAACUGUGUAUACCAGGUUGGCUUCAAAAUCACAGAAAUCCACCUGCCUCUACUCCUAAAUGAUGGGAUUAAAGGCAUGCACCACCACACCCACUCAGGAUGGUGCAUUAUUUAAAAGCAUAUAUGGGGCUGGAGAGCUGGCUCAGCAGUUAAGAUUUCUAGUUGUGCUUGCAAAAGACAUGGCUUGUUUCCCAGCAUCCUCUGGGCAGCUUAGAACCAUCUGGAUCUCCAAUUUCAAGGUAUCUGACGCCCUAUUCUGGCCUCUGUAGAAAACAGGCAUGCACAUGGUACACAAACAAGCAUAACCCCCCCCCCCACUCAUACAUGUAAAGUAAGAAUAAAGCUUUUUAAAAAGGCAGACAUGGGGUCUAGCAAACAAAGAAGUAGAUGCUCAUAGUCAGCUAUUGGAUGGAUCACAGGGCCCCCAAUGGAAGAGCUAGAGAAAGUACCCAAGGAGCUAAAGGGAUCUGCGACCCUAUAGGUGGAACAACAUUAUGAACUAACCAGUACCCCGGAGCUCUUGACUCUAGCUGCAUAUCUAUCAAAAGAUGGCCUAGUCGGCCAUCACUGGAAAGAGAGGCCCAUUGGACUUGCAAACUUUAUAUGCCCCAGUACAGGGGAACGCCAGG
rnacentral:lncRNA from 1 species